UACAGAGGUCUCGAGCGUUAAUCGGAUUCAUUGGGCUUAAAGCGUACGUAGGCGGCUGUGCAGGCAUCGUGUGAAAUCCCCUGGCUCAACCAGGGAACUGCUCGGUGAACCGCACGUCUUGAGGCAAGUAGAGGCUGUCGGAACGAUAGGUGGAGCGGUGAAAUGCGUAGAUAUCUAUCGGAACGCCGAAGGUGAAAACAGGCAGCUGGGCUUGAUCUGACGCUGAGGUACGAAAGCGUGGGGAGCGAACGGG
rnacentral:rRNA from 1 species